UCCAGUGUAUAGACAUAUCCAGUCUUUGUGAGCCAUUUUACUUACAAGUGUAAAGACGGUUCUCUGGAUUUUUGUUUUAUUUAUUAAUUAGGUAGAUAGUUAUUACUUAGGUACGUAAAUGUCAUAUUUGUUCACCCCCUAAAGUUUAGUAAAAUUACGCCUAUGACUUUGGCCAUAAAAUUAAUGUCUAGUUCGCCUAUG